UGCUGUUGACAUCUAUGUGUCCCCUG
rnacentral:piRNA from 1 species